GAUUCCGUAGUGUAGUGGUUAUCACGUGUGCCUAAUACGCACAAGGUCCCCGGUUCGAGCCCGGGCGGAAUCA
rnacentral:tRNA from 1 species